UGUUGUUGAGUUUUGCUGUACGUUUUUUUGAAUUUUUCUGCACAUAAUUCCCUGGGUUGUACAGAGUGGUCUCAGCUGUGGCCCUAGCCCCUUCUCACCCUGUGGGACUGCCUAGGGACUUCUUCACAGCCUACUACCUCCCAGUCAGGGAGCCUGCCCCAAGUCUUCCACCCAUUCACAGCACCUGCAAGCAUGCCAUCAGUAUCCCAUUGUCUUCCAUUGCUCCCAGGAUCUUGCCUGUCCCCAUCCCUCUCCACCUCCUACAUGCUACAACCGCAUGAAGUGUCAAGCAGGCUUUGGAAGUGGGCAUUUGGAACUAGUUGACCUUAAGCUGUCGUAAGAUUUAAGAAUAAGAGUCCAGUAAGAAAGCAGUAAUAUUUAUUUACAGCUGUUUACAUACAUUUAACUCCGUUCUCUAUUAAGCAUAUAGACUAAAGGAGUGAAAGAGAAGCGUGAUACAAAUUGCAAAAUCAGAAAGUCCCAGGAUUCGCAAUAGAGAAGUAUGACGAGUCUUUGUGGCAGCAGUAAACAUAUCAUUUUAUCUUUGUGUGUCUUCAUGUGUGCCACUGGUUUUUACAGUUUAAAUAAAUUGUUGUUGGCAGUUUUAAUGAAGACUGAACCGGUCACCUCAAUCUGACUUGUGGGGUAACUACUGACCUCCAUUUAAUCAGUAACCCUGGUUGGUCUAACCAGCAAGACAUGGUUAACUGGUGACCCCGGUGAUUUUUGGUGGCUUGAUUCCCACUGUGGUUCAGUAGGACAGAGCAAAUGAUGGCUCAGGGGCAAAUCAAAACACCAGUUCUAACCAGUUCUUAGGUUUUGGUUCAGUUUCAAUUGGACUCCCAGUUAGAGCAGGGGGCAGUGGAACUCAAGGAAGCUGUGAAGUCUCCUGCACUGGAGGUGUUCAAGAAGAGGUUGGUCUGCCACCAUUCAGGGAUAUGCCAACGCUCCUCCUGAGACUCAGCCCUGGAUAGUCCUAGCUACAGGGUCUUGCCCAUCUGGUUCAGAGUCGGACUGAUGCUGUGCUGCAUUGGGGUCAGGAAUGAGUUUUCCCCUGGUCAGAUUGGUAGAGACUGUGGGGGGUUGUCUUCCUCUGCAGUAGGGGCACAUCUUCUACUUGGAAUCUUACACCAGCUGCUGACUGGCUGCACUGGGCCAGGCCCCACAGGCAGUGCCGGCUGGCACCUGGCAGUCCUGUGUUGCUCCCAGACUCCUGUCCCUGCAUUUCAAGGCCACAGUUUGCUCUACAGGGGAAAGGCUUUUCUUUCCCCCCUGGCACCUUUUCUGCUUGGAAUGAAGGAGUCCGUUUUUUUCCCCAGGCCCAACAAAAAUGCAGGGCUCGCUUGCUUUCUUUCAUGGAAAAUACUUGAUUUCGUGCUUUCAGUGAAAAAAGUACAACUGAGAAUUAAGUUCGUCCCUAUGUAACAAGGGCUCGCGUGUUUGAUACAUCUCAAAUUUUACUUCAGCCUCCAGACAUCAUAUUCAAGUCCUGAAAAGAUGCCAAAGACUGUGAAACUCACACCUAAAGACCGUGUUGCCGAGUUUGGCAAAAGUAAGUUUCACACUGACGGUACCAUGCUGUUCUGCAUUACAUGCAAUAAGGCUGUAGAUCAUGUUCAAAGGUAGACAAUUAUGGAACACAUGGAAAGUGCUAAGCAUAAACAGAACCAAGAGACACGAAGAGAGGACACUGAAAAAGCACAGCCAUCAAAGAAACAAUGCACUGUGACUGCAGCAUUCCAGCGUUCUACAGCUGCCAAACCCCACUGUGACACCAUCAUUUUGAAUUUUGUUCAAAUGUGUUUAAAAGCACCAUUCAUCUGCAUAAAAUGGAUUUAUCUGUUGUCAGGGAUCUUCGGAGCAAGUACAUUAAUGGAAGUGGUGCCAUUCCCAAGUCAGACCAAUUGUAUUCCCACAAAUUGGCUCUUUCUGAAGAGGAAAAACAGAGCCUUCUUGAAGUUUCCCUCCAAGUUUUUACUGCUGUGCUUGCUGACAGAACAACUGACUUCCAAAACAGACCAGUUUUCAACAUUUUAUUUCAGGUGCUAAGCACGCUAACGUUCCCAAACCACAGCUGGUAAAGACAGUGUGCCUGAGGAAAGUUAAUCAUGCCGCCAUUGCAAAAGCCUUGAUUCCUUGUCUGAUGGAAUUUGCCAUCCCACGAGAGAAUAUUGGCAUUUGUAACAGACAAUGCAAACUACAUGGUGAAGGCUUGGAACGAUGUGCUUUGUGGCCUGUGGUCAAACUGUGUACAUAUUCAUUGCUAUGCACAUAUAGUUGCUUUGGCAGGAACUACUUGGCAAGAGACCUUCAAGCAAGUGGAUCGCUUUGUUGCUUUAAUGAAGUCACUUUUAGUAAAAGCUCCAGAUUGUCAUGCAUGAUUCUUGACAUACUUGGAGGAUCAGAAUACUGAUUCACCAGCACUUCCACCAGAACCAGUUGUGACCACGUGGAACACAUGGUUCAAUUGCAUCAAGUACCAUGCACAGUAUUCCUGGCUCUAUCAUGGGUUUGUGAAACUUGAACAAACAGAACAAGGGAAUACAGCUGUUCUGCAGGAACUGGCCAGCCUGUUGGCAAUAGCAGACCUGCACAAUGAUGUGAAGUACACUGCAGAGAACUGUGGAUGCCUGGUGACAGCACCGGACUUUUUAUACUUCCAGAAAUACCAAGUACACAAAGUGUACAACACUGUCUUGCAUUUAAUUUUGUGGUUGGAGCACCUUGUUUUAGCAACUGAUAAUGUGAGAUGAUCCACAGCUGCUCAGAGUGCUGCUGAUAAACUGAGACAGAACAGCAUGAAAAGUAAACAGCCAGCAGUUGAUUUUCUCUGCACUGUUUGAGCACUGGAUCCUAAACAAAUCGGUUCUGUCUGUAUAGAUUACAAAACUGUGAAAUCAGAAUUAAAGCUGCCCAGGGAGUGUAGCAUGUAAUGGCCAGUGCAUUUAGGAAUUGUCAAAGAUGGGUUUGCAGAUGUUGAGGAUCCUAUUCAGUUGUGGACGGCUGUUGAAGACGGCAUUCCCAACCCACAAAAUAUGCAGUGGUUCUCCUGUAACUCACUAUAAAUUCAUUUGACAUGGAAAGAAAUUUCAUCAAACUUGGGGUUCUUCUCAGUGCUCAGCAUCAAAGUCCGAAAGCUGAAAAUGUAGCUGGAAUCCUGCAACUAUACUUUAAUUCCCCAGAGUAACUGAGAAACUUUCCCCUUUGUCCUGUAAUAAACCUGGCUUUUGUUGAUACAUUGCUUGCAAGGGAGAAGGUUGCCCAGUC